rnacentral:rRNA from 1 species
AGUAAUGUAUAGGAACUUGCCUAGCAGUGGGGGAUAACGUGUGGAAACGCACGCUAAUACCGCAUACGCUCUACGGAGGAAAGCGGGGGAUCUUCGGACCUCGUGCUACUAGAUGGGCCUAUAUCAGAUUAGCUAGUUGGUAAGGUAAUGGCUUACCAAGGCGACGAUCUGUAGCUGGUUUGAGAGAAUGAUCAGCCACACUGGGACUGAGACACGGCCCAG